UACGUAGGGACCGAGCGUUGCCCGGAAUCAUUGGGCGUAAAGAGCGUGUAGGCGGCUAUUUAAGUCCUGCGUGAAAUCCUGCGGCUCAACCGCAGACGGUCGUGGGAAACUGGAUGGCUAGAGUGCGGGAGAGGAGAGUGGAAUUCCCGGUGUAGCGGUGAAAUGCGCAGAUAUCGGGAAGAACACCCGUGGCGAAGGCGGCUCUCUGGAACGCAACUGACGCUGAGACGCGAAAGCGUGGGGAGCAAACAGG
rnacentral:rRNA from 1 species